rnacentral:rRNA from 1 species
UGAGGAAUAUUGGUCAAUGGGCGCAAGCCUGAACCAGCCAUCCCGCGUGAAGGAAGAAUGCGCUACGCGUUGUAAACUUCUUUUCCAGGGGGAGAAUUUUCCUGUCGAGACAGGGAUUGACGGUACCCUGGGAAUAAGCAUCGGCUAACUCCGUGCCAGCAGCCGCGGUAAUACGGAGGAUGCGAGCGUUAUCCGGAUUUAUUGGGUUUAAAGGGUGCGUAGGCGGAUUGAUAAGUCAGUGGUGAAAUUCUGCAGCUUAACUGUAGACUUGCCGUUGAUACUGUUAGUCUUGAGUGUGGUCAAGGCAGGCGGAAUGUGUAAUGUAGCGGUGAAAUGCUUAGAUAUUACACAGAACACCGAUUGCGAAGGCAGCUUGCUGGGUCAUUACUGACGCUGAUGCACGAAAGCGUGGGGAUCAAACAGG